rfam:Glycine max cultivar Williams 82 chromosome 3, whole genome shotgun sequence.
AUACUUACCUGGACGGGGUCAAUGGGUGUUCAAGAAGGCCUAUGGCCUAGGUUUGGUGACCUCCAUUGCACUUUGGAGGGGUGUCUACCUAAGGUCUCCUCAAGUAGGAGAGUCUACGUCAUAAUUUGUGGUAGUGGGGGCCUGCGUUCGCGCGGCCCCUUC